rnacentral:rRNA from 1 species
UACGUAGGUGGCGAGCGUUGUCCGGAUUUACUGGGCGUAAAGAGCGCGCAGGCGGUCGUGCAAGUCGCGUGUGAAAGCCCCCGGCUCAACUGGGGAGAGUCACGCGAUACUGCUCGACUUGAAGGCAGGAGAGGGAAGUGGAAUUCCCGGUGUAGUGGUGAAAUGCGUAGAUAUCGGGAGGAACACCAGUGGCGAAGGCGACUUCCUGGCCUGUUCUUGACGCUGAGGCGCGAAAGCUAGGGUAGCAAACGGG